GGGGAAUAUUGGACAAUGGGGGCAACCCUGAUCCAGCAAUGCCGCGUGUGUGAAGAAGGUCUUCGGAUUGUAAAGCACUUUCGACGGGGACGAUGAUGACGGUACCCGUAGAAGAAGCCCCGGCUAACUUCGUGCCAGCAGCCGCGGUAAUACGAAGGGGGCUAGCGUUGCUCGGAAUGACUGGGCGUAAAGGGCGCGUAGGCGGCUUGUACAGUCAGAUGUGAAAUUCCUGGGCUCAACCUGGGGGCUGCGUUUGAUACGUGCGGUCUAGGGUUUGGAAGAGGGUUGUGGAAUUCCCAGUGUAGAGGUGAAAUUCGUAGAUAUUGGGAAGAACACCGGUGGCGAAGGCGGCAACCUGGUCCUUGACUGACGCUGAGGCGCGAAAGCGUGGGGAGCAAACA
rnacentral:rRNA from 1 species